GGAGAGGUGGUCGAGAUGGUUUAAGGCGCAGCAUUGGAAAUGCUGUGUACGUUUAUAGCGUACCGUGGGUUCGAAUCCCAUCCUCUCCUCCA
rnacentral:tRNA from 2 species